rnacentral:rRNA from 1 species
GCAGCCACUCAUUCAAAGAGUGCGUAAUAGCUCACUGGUCGAGUGAUCCUGCGCCGAAGAUUUCCGGGGCUAAAACUUACUACCGAAGCUACGGCAUCAGUAAUGAUGGGUAGGGGAGCUUCCCAUACGGGUUGAAGCAUGACCGUAAGGACAUGUGGACAGGAUGGGAGUGAGAAUGUUGGCAUGAGUAGCGAGAUGUGGGUGAGAAUCCCACAGGCCGUAAACCCAAGGUUUCCAGGGGAAGGUUCGUCCGCCCUGGGUUAGUCGGGACCUAAGCUGAGGCCGAAAGGCGUAGGUGAUGGACAACAGGUUGAUAUUCCUGUACUACCGAUAACCGUUUGAGAGAUGGGAUGACACAGUAGGAUAAGCUAAGCACACUGUUGGUUAUGUGUGCCCAAGCAUUGAGGCAGUCAAAGUAG